ACUCACAUUCUUUUGAGCAGGUUUGUACUGCUCAAUAUAGGCGCUUGGGUGGUAUAAUCACCACCUGUGGAUUCUUUGAGAUGUCCGUAAGUAAAGGGAGCAAAUCGCUCACGUCCUAAGGGCUGUAGGACAGGAAAAAGUUACAGGAUUUUUACAAGUCACAAACUCCUCCCCUGUGCCUGAGAGAUAAUUGAGUCAGGAUCUGUUCAAACUCAAUUAUCUCCAAAUACAGAAAAACUUACAAUUUACAAACACCCCAAAAGUACCCCCAAGAUCCAUGGAAACCCCACAAAAGUCACAUCCUCGGAUAGCUCAGAUCUGGGUGACCAACAUAUCCCAAAAUCACCCAGAUUG